rnacentral:rRNA from 1 species
GGCGAUUGGGCGUUUGAUCAUGGCUCAGAGCGAACGCUGGCGGCAGGCUUAACACAUGCAAGUCGAACGGGCGUAGCAAUACGUCAGUGGCAGACGGGUGAGUAACGCGUGGGAACGUACCUUUUGGUUCGGAACAACACAGGGAAACUUGUGCUAAUACCGGAUAAGCCCUUACGGGGAAAGAUUUAUCGCCGAAAGAUCGGCCCGCGUCUGAUUAGCUUGUUGGUGAGGUAACGGCUCACCAAGGCGACGAUCAGUAGCUGGUCUGAGAGGACGAUCAGCCACACUGGGACUGAGACACGGCCCAGACUCCUACGGGAGGCAGCAGUAGGGAAUCUUGCGCAAUGGGCGAAAGCCUGACGCAGCGACGCCGCGUGAGGGAAGAAGGCCUUCGGGUUGUAAACCUCUUUCAGGAGGGACGAAGCCACUCGGGUUAAUAGCCCAGAGGGUGACGGUACCUCCAGAAGAAGCCCCGGCUAACUACGUGCCAGCAGCCGCGGUAA